rnacentral:misc_RNA from 1 species
GGAAAAGGUGAUGCUACUGGAUUCUUUUCUACACCUUUAACACAGAUAGCGCAUAGCUUGGAGGAUGAACUUCAUUUGCAUGAUCGCGUGAUUAUGUCAAGUUGUAUAGAACUUUCUUCACCCGAAUUGGGGAAAACAUGCAAGUUCAGUGGAAGGUUAAAUUGUACUGUGCUUUUGUCGGCUAAACCGGAAUUUGAGAACAAUAAUCAAUCCCAAAGUAAAGGAAGA